CCUACGGGGGGCAGCAGUGGGGGAUAUUGCACAAUGGGGGAAACCCUGAUGCAGCGACGCCGCGUGGGUGAAGAAGCGCCUCGGCGCGUAAAGCCCUGUCAGCAGGGAAGAAAAUGACGGUACCUAAAGAAGAAGCCCCGGCUAACUCCGUGCCAGCAGCCGCGGUAAUACGUAGGGGGAAAGCGUUAUCCGGAUUUACUGGGUGUAAAGGGGGCGCAGACGGCGAUGCAAGCCAGGAGUGAAAGCCCGGGGCCCAACCCCGGGACUGCUCUUGGAACUGCGUGGCUAGAGUGCAGGAGGGGCAGGCGGAAUUCCUGGUGUAGCGGUGAAAUGCGUAGAGAUCAGGAGGAACACCGGUGGCGAAGGCGGCCUGCUGGACUGCAACUGACGUUGAGGCCCGAAAGCGUGGGGAGCAAACAGGAUUAGAUACCCGGGUAGUC
rnacentral:rRNA from 1 species